rfam:Crassostrea gigas strain 05x7-T-G4-1.051#20 contig303, whole genome shotgun sequence.
CCAAAGGCCCAUUUAAGGGCCACCUAUUUAUUUAGAAAAGCUGUUU